AUUGAACGCUGGCGGCAUGCUUUACACAUGCAAGUCGAACGGUAACAGGCCUUCGGGUGCUGACGAGUGGCGAACGGGUGAGUAAUGCAUCGGAACGUGCCCAGAGGUGGGGGAUAACGCGGCGAAAGCUGUGCUAAUACCGCAUGUGAUCUGAGGAUGAAAGCGGGGGACCAGGCAGCAAUGUUUGGCCUCGCGCCUUUGGAGCGGCCGAUGUCAGAUUAGGUAGUUGGUGGGGUAAAGGCCUACCAAGCCGACGAUCUGUAGCUGGUCUGAGAGGACGACCAGCCACACUGGGACUGAGACACGGCCCAGACUCCUACGGGAGGCAGCAGUGGGGAAUUUUGGACAAAGGGCGCAAGCCUGAUCCAGCAAUGCCGCGUGCGGGAAGAAGGCCUUCGGGUUGUAAACCGCUUUUGUACGGAACGAAAAGGCUCUGGCUAAUACCUGGGGCUGAUGACGGUACCGUAAGAAUAAGCACCGGCUAACUACGUG
rnacentral:rRNA from 1 species